UGGUGCGAGUGGGUGGGGAGUCGUGCUGAGUUUGGAGUACGCCACACUAAGCUAACUUAAUGAACUCAACGCAGACAUUGCACUCAACUAACUCAAAGGACAGUACGCACAUUUCAGGAAACUCUUCCAGCUAUUGUUUGAGUCACGUUAGGUUUGCAACUUGAAACAAAGAUCGGCAUUACGGCUUGAUGUUUUGCGUGGCUUGCGUAGUAAACCAGUGAGCUUUCUUCGUGUGGUCAAGAAGGACUGAAAACACAAGAUGGCAGUCAAUCAGUUUGUGUCAGAGGUGCUGCUGCGCAAGAACUUAGGUGCUGUUUCACGACAGUCAGCCUUUUGGAUAUUGAUUAACCUGUUCUUGUCACUCUUCAUCACAUUAGAAAUGUACUAUGGCUCGUACCUGGCCUCCGAGCUGCUGGGCGUGCCACUGCUGCUGCUCUGGCGGCUGGAGCUGGGCGUGCUCGUCAUCAGCUGCCUUAAUCUGGCCGUCCACAUGACCCGCUACCUGUACCCGGGCCUGGGCUGCACCGUC